rnacentral:rRNA from 1 species
GGCUCAGGAUGAACGCUGGCGGCGUGCCUAAUACAUGCAAGUCGAGCGAACGGACGAGAAGCUUGCUUCUCUGAUGUUAGCGGCGGACGGGUGAGUAACACGUGGAUAACCUACCUAUAAGACUGGGAUAACUUCGGGAAACCGGAGCUAAUACCGGAUAAUAUUUUGAACCGCAUGGUUCAAAAGUGAAAGACGGUCUUGCUGUCACUUAUAGAUGGAUCCGCGCUGCAUUAGCUAGUUGGUAAGGUAACGGCUUACCAAGGCAACGAUGCAUAGCCGACCUGAGAGGGUGAUCGGCCACACUGGAACUGAGACACGGUCCAGACUCCUACGGGAGGCAGCAGUAGGGAAUCUUCCGCAAUGGGCGAAAGCCUGACGGAGCAACGCCGCGUGAGUGAUGAAGGUCUUCGGAUCGUAAAACUCUGUUAUUAGGGAAGAACAUAUGUGUAAGUAACUGUGCACAUCUUGACGGUACCUAAUCAGAAAGCCACGGCUAACUACGUGCCAGCAGCCGCGGUAAUACGUAGGUGGCAAGCGUUAUCCGGAAUUAUUGGGCGUAAAGCGCGCGUAGGCGGUUUUUUAAGUCUGAUGUGAAAGCCCACGGCUCAACCGUGGAGGGUCAUUGGAAACUGGAAAACUUGAGUGCAGAAGAGGAAAGUGGAAUUCCAUGUGUAGCGGUGAAAUGCGCAGAGAUAUGGAGGAACACCAGUGGCGAAGGCGACUUUCUGGUCUGUAACUGACGCUGAUGUGCGAAAGCGUGGGGAUCAAACAGGAUUAGAUACCCUGGUAGUCCACGCCGUAAACGAUGAGUGCUAAGUGUUAGGGGGUUUCCGCCCCUUAGUGCUGCAGCUAACGCAUUAAGCACUCCGCCUGGGGAGUACGACCGCAAGGUUGAAACUCAAAGGAAUUG